AUUGAACGCUGGCGGCAGGCUUAACACAUGCAAGUCGAGCGGAGAGAGGUAGCUUGCUACUGAUCUUAGCGGCGGACGGGUGAGUAAUGCUUAGGAAUCUGCCUAUUAGUGGGGGACAACAUUUCGAAAGGAAUGCUAAUACCGCAUACGUCCUACGGGAGAAAGCAGGGGAUCUUCGGACCUUGCGCUAAUAGAUGAGCCUAAGUCGGAUUAGCUAGUUGGUGGGGUAAAGGCCUACCAAGGCGACGAUCUGUAGCGGGUCUGAGAGGAUGAUCCGCCACACUGGGACUGAAACACGGCCCAGACUCCUACGGGGGGCAGCAGUGGGGAAUAUUGGACAAUGGGCGGAAGCCUGAUCCAGCCAUGCCGCGUGUGUGAAGAAGGCCUUAUGGUUGUAAAGCACUUUAAGCGAGGAGGAGGCUACUUUAGUUAAUACCUAGAGAUAGUGGACGUUACUCGCAGAAUAGGCACCGGCUAACUCUGUGCCAGCCGCCGCAGUAAGAC
rnacentral:rRNA from 1 species